rnacentral:rRNA from 1 species
UAGGGAAUAUUGGGCAAUGGAGGCAACUCUGACCCAGCCAUGCCGCGUGCAGGAAGAAGGCCUUCUGGGUUGUAAACUGCUUUUGAUCGGGAACAAAGAGCCCUUGCGAGGGAAGUUGAGCGUACCGAUAGAAUAAGCACCGGCUAACUCCGUGCCAGCAGCCGCGGUAAUACGGAGGGUGCAAGCGUUGUCCGGAUUUAUUGGGUUUAAAGGGUGCGUAGGCGGUCUUUUAAGUCAGUGGUGAAAGCCAACAGCUCAACUGUUGAACUGCCAUUGAUACUGAAAGACUUGAGUACAGACGAGGUAGGCGGAAUUUAUGGUGUAGCGGUGAAAUGCAUAGAUACCAUAAAGAACACCGAUUGCGAAGGCAGCUUACUAGGCUGUAACUGACGCUGAGGCACGAAAGCGUGGGGAUCAACAGGAUUAGAUACC